UACAGAGGGGGCAAGCGUUGUUCGGAAUUACUGGGCGUAAAGGGCGCGUAGGCGGCCCGCUAAGUCGAACGUGAAAUCCCUCGGCUCAACCGGGGAACUGCGUCCGAUACUGGUGGGCUCGAAUCCGGGAGAGGGAUGUGGAAUUCCUGGUGUAGCGGUGAAAUGCGCAGAUAUCAGGAGGAACACCGGUGGCGAAGGCGGGUCUCUGGGCCGAUACUGACGCUGAGGAGCGAAAGCGUGGGGAGCGAACAGG
rnacentral:rRNA from 1 species